rnacentral:sRNA from 1 species
UUUCCUUUUGUUUUGAGAUGCAGAGCCAUUUCUUUUGGCCUCAUUCCUAGUAACCCAGGAUUCAGGGAAUUUGUCCCUGCUUUUCAGGUGGUAGUGAAGAAAGUGAGUAAACAACAUCGUUGGUAUCUUCAGAACACCUCUUGUGACCGAGAGAGCUGUUGGAAGGAAAAUAUUCUUCUCUCAGCAAGGGGUUUUUCUGCCUUUUUCCAAAUGCUGGUGAAAGCCCAGAAGCCCUUAGUGGGACAUAAUAUGAUGAUGGACCUGCUGCACCUCCAUGAGAAGUUCUUCAGACCCCUCCCAGGAGAUGAAUUUCCCGAGGGUGUCGAAUCUUUCCAAAGUCUAUGAAGUCCUGAACAGUGACUUGAAUCCCACCAAGAAUUCUGGACCAGAGAUUGUUCACGCAAGCAGGUGUGAGAAAUACGUUGAGACAAAGUGCCCCCACGAAGCUGCGUAUGAUGCCUUCCUCUGUGGGUCA